rnacentral:lncRNA from 1 species
AGAAGCAUUUUACACCAAUAUUCCACAUGAGGAUGGACUACAAGCUGUCAGGAACAGUAUCCCUGAUGAGGCCACAGCAUGCCUGGUGGCUGAGCUUUGUGACUUUGUCCUCACCCACAACCACUUCAGAUUUGGGGACAACUUAUAACUUCAAGUCAGUGGCACUGCUAUGGAUACCCGCAUGGCCCCACAGUAUGCCAACAUUUUUAUGGCUGACUUAGAACAACGCUUCCUCAGCUCUCGUCCCCUAGUGCCCCUCCUCUACUUGCGCUACACUGAUGACAUCUUCAUCAUAUGGACCCACGGAAAGGAGGCCCUUGAAGAAUUUCACCUGGACUUCAACAAUUUCCAUUCCACCAUCAACCUCAGCCUGGACCAGUCCACACAAGAGAUCCACUUCCUGGACACUACAGUGCAAAUAAGUGAUGGUCACAUAAACACCACCCUAUACCGGAAACCUACUGACCGCUAUACGUAUCUACAUGCCUCCAGCUUCCAUCCAAGACACAUCACACAAUUCAUUGUCUACAGCCAAGCCCUAAGAUACAACCGAAUUUGCUCCAACCCCUCAGACAGAGACAAACACCUGCAAGAUCUUUAUCAAACUUUCGUAAAUCUACAAUACCCACCUGGGGAAGUGAGGAAACAGAUUGAUAGAGCAAGACGGGUACCCAGAAAUCACCUACUACAGGACAGGCCCAACAAGGACAAUAACAGAACACCACUGGCCAUCACAUACAGCCCCCAGCUAAAACCUCUCCAGAGCAUUAUCCACGAUCUACAACCUAUCCUGGAAAAUGAUCCCUCACUCUCACAGACCUUGGGAAGCAGGCCAGUCCUCGCUUACAGACAACCCCCCAACCUGAAGCAAAUACUCACCAGCAACUACACACCACGCCACAGAAACACCAACCCAGGAACCAAUCCCUGUAGCAAACCUCGUUGCCUACUCUGUCCCCAUAUCUACUCUGGCGACACCAUCAGAGGACCCAACCACAACAGCCACACCAUCAAGGGCUCAUUCAUCUGCACAUCCACUAAUGUUAUAUAUGCCAUCAUGUGCCAGCAAUGCCCCUCUGCCAUGUACAUUGGCCAAACCAGACAGUCCCUCCGCAAAAGAAUAAAUGAACACAAAUCGGACAUCAGGAAUGGUAACAUACAUAAGCCAGUAAGUGAACACUUCAAUCUCCCUGUAAUUCUAUUACAGAUUUAAAAGUCACUAUCGUUGAACAAAAAAACUUCAGAAACAGACUUCAAAGAGAAACAGCAGAACUAAAAUUCAUUUGCAAAUUUAACACCAUUAAUCUGGGCUUGAAUAGGGACUGGGAAUGGCUGGCUCAUUACAGAAGCAGCUUUUCCUCUCCUGGAAUUGACACCUCCUCAUCUAUUAUUGGGAGUGGACUACAUCCACCCUGAUUGAAUUGGCCCUGUCAACACUGGUUCUCCACUUGCGAAGUAACUUCCCGCUCU